UAGUCCACGCCGUAAGCGAUGUCAACUUACUGUUAGAAAGUUUAACUUUUUAGUGGUGUAGCUAACGCGCUAAGUUGACCGCCUGGGAGUACGGCCGCAAGGCUAAAACUCAAAUGAAUUGACGGGGACCCGCACAAGCGGUGGAGCAUGUGGUUUAAUUCGAUGCAACGCGAAGAACCUUACCUACCCUUGACAUUCUUAGCAGUAUUUGUAAUGAAUAUGUACCUUCGGGAACUAAUGAACAGGUGCUGCAUGGCUGUCGUCAGCUCGUGUUGUGAAAUGUUGGGUUAAGUCCCUUAACGAGCGCAACCCUUAUUCUUUGUUACUAACAUUUAGUUGAGUUCUCUAAGAAGACUGCCAGUGACAAACUGGAGGAAGGUGGGGAUGACGUCAAGUCAUCAUGGCCCUUACGGGUAGGGCUACACACGUGCUACAAUGGGAAAUACAGAGGGUUGCUAACCUGCAAAGGGGGAGCUAAUCUCAUAAAAUUUUCCUCAGUCCAGAUUGGAGUCUGCAACUCGACUCC
rnacentral:rRNA from 1 species